rnacentral:tRNA from 1 species
GUGUGGCCUAGUGGUUGGACGCCAAGCUGAUAUCCCGAAGGUCACACAGGUUCGAGCCCGG